AGAAUUUUGCAUGUGUGGCGGCAUCAACCUUGAAACUGAUUGCAGCAACUGCUUCGAUCCAGAUACUUUAACUUUGGACGAAAUCUUGGCAUGCCUCACCGGAGUUGAUAUUGAUACUGACCUCGCUGCAGAAUGUGCAAGACCCACCCGCCCCUCUCGCUUUUAAUGACAUCACGGACAGAACCAUAACAAAACUGGCUGCUGUUGUUGCUGUUCCUGUGAUGUCGGCGUCACCACAGCAACAAGUAAACUGAAACUGAACACCCGCCACUUCUCUUCCUCCUUCGUCGCCAACUUCAGCUGCACCACCAUCACCACUUCUUGCAGACACCGCCCUUCUGAUGCCCUCUGCGCCUGUCUGCCUGUCUGUCUACCUGUCUGUCUGUGUUGCACUCUUCACCACGAUAAAGCCUCGCAAAAG